CAUACGUGUGCUUUUCCGAUCUUGAAACGAGAAAUGGCCGUGCCAAAAAGCUGCGGUAAAAACAAAACGAUAGAGAAGGAAAGAAAAACUUGGCAUCGGUUUCCGUUUCCGUAGAACAACCAGGGGAGAAAAAAAUUAAAAACAGCGAUAGAAAAGUAAAGAAUUUUCCAGUUAAGCCAAUUCGAGAGGUAGAAAAUUGGGAUAAAAGUUAACAAGUAAAUUAACCAAUGUGCAUGUAUUCACACACACACACACACACACACGUGAAAACACACCUUACACACGUAUAUGAUAUAUGAGUAUAUUAUUGUAUGUAAAAAUCUACCUCCCGUUAAGUACGAUACGUGUGCCAGUAUAAAGCAAGAGAUAGAUAGAUAGAAAGAGAGAGAGGGGGCGAACCGAAAGCGAAGGAGAAAGAGAGAAGGAAAAGGGAAACAUGGAGAAAAAAAGAAAACACGGUCGUAUGUGUAUAUUAGAGUUACAAGAGAGAGAGAGAGAGAGAGAGAGAGAGAGAGAGAGAGAGAGAAUAAAAAAGGAGAAGAGAAGAUGAAAAGAAAGAGAGAGGAAAAAAAAAUAAAAUAAAAAAAAUCAAACCAUACUUAUAUAAUAUAAUAUGAAAUGUAUAAUUAUAGAGAAUGAAAAGUUGAUAUGCUUUUUUUCUUUCCAUUUCAUUCUAACUUCGCGUGAAUUGUAAGAAAACAAAAAAACAAAAAAAAAAAAAUUUCACACAAAGACGUAACGAAAGAACGAAGACAAAUUUACAAAAAAAGAAAAAGAAAAACGGACGCGAGCGUCAGACCGGCUCUCAAUUUUGAAAUAGCCAUUUCGACGUUUUUUUGUGAAGCGGAAAAAAUGCAAAACCAACCCCCCAAAACCCGAUGCAAUAGAAAGACGACAGAGAAAAAAAAAAAAAAAGAAAGAAGAAAAAAAAAAUGAAGCCGAAUACAAAAGAAAUACAGCCACAAUAUAUACGAAGAUGCAGUUAAUAAUCCUGCGUGGGACCCGGCCGGGAGUCCGUUUGUCGUUUCUCAACGAAAAUCUCUGCCCCUCGUCAAUUCGCGGGGGGUGCAUAAGGCCCCCCGCGCGAGGGGCACCCGGUCGAACCUCGCUUGGGUCCCACGCCAUAUAUUCUCACUCACAGCACACACUGGGCCGACUCGUCCGAUAGAAUGUGCCUUCAGUGUUGAUUUUAUACGAAAAAAAAUACUAAAAUUAUACAAAGGGGCCCGACAUAGACCGAAACGCCCACCCAAAGCCUGUCUGGCGCUUGCGAGCUGACCGUAAAAAUUUUUUUUUUUUAACCGGAAUUCCACCCCCAACGCCCCCCGCCCCCCGCCCCAACCCCUCAUCGCGAAGUGAAGAGAAAAACGUAAAUUACACUCAAUAAUUCAUCGUCAUAUACACGAAAAACCAACAAAAUCACGCACAGUAUUCGAUUCCAAGCUUUUUCUUUUCCGUGAAUUUGAAAGAGUAUUUUUUUUUGUUGUUGUUCACGGUUUUUUUCGACAUUUUCUUUACACGAGAUCGAUCGUGUGAAUUAUUGUCAAUUCGAUGAGAUAGUGAAGGGAAUAAUACGCGAAACAUCGAAAGGUGGUGGUGAAAGAAUUUUUCGUUUCGAAAAUAAGAAGGGCAGGUGCAGCAAAAACUUUUUCUCAAAUCGUAAAAAAUGUAGGAAAAACUUUACGUUUCAAAGUCCCACUUCUAAGUAUAUUGUAUUAAUAAGGUAACCGCAUAAAAAUUUCUUCACACUGAUCGAUACUGAAACGGUGAAUUUUUCAACCCCUUAAAAUCAUCGUUAUUGUAUCAAAUAUUACAGGUAUCGAUCAGUUUUUCCACCCUUCGUUAAUUUUGUUUUUUUUUUGUUUUUUUUUUUCUUUCGCUCGUCAAACUCGAAUGGAUUUUAGAACUCUGCAACACCCGGUCGCUCGUCCGAGUAAAUUUACGUUGGGUAUACGUGACACGAUGAUCGAAUUAUGUUAGGCAGUUAAAAUAUCGUCAACCUCCGGGGGACACGUUCGUUAAAGGUUUCACGCCUAUGAUGAAAAUGAAACGCUUGGAAUGAAGGAAUGAAAAUACGCACACACACACGCAUUAUACGUAUAUAUACACGCAUGGCAGCAGUCAAAAUGUCGCUACAACAGAAACAACGCAAAAAUCGCGUGCAAAAACAGUAAAAAUAUACUAAUUGGCAAAAGAAUUAAAAAAUAAAAAAAAAACAAAGAUAAACAUCACCCCAUCCCCCGAAGCAAAAAAAAAAGUAUAUGUACAUAAUGAACAGGUCUCCAAACCAGUCGGAACGAAACGGGGGGAAUGACAUAAAAAAAAAAAAAAAAAAACCAACCCGAGAACAAUUUUUUUGGUUCAGGCAAGGAGUUCGGAACGCUGCUUAUAACACACCGACGCAUAUAUAAUAUAUGUAUAUUUAUCGAUUAUGCAAUGACUAUGACGACGACAAUGAUGAUUAUUAUUAUUGUUAUUAUUAUAGACGAUACGUAUAAGUGAUUGUAUUAUAUAUAGGUAUGCGUACUAUGGUCUCUCCCGCUGAUAAUCUCACCCCGAAGAGAGAAAAAAAAAUAAAUAAAUAACCCGGUUCGAACAGCAUAGAAGGAGAAGGGAAAAGAAAAAAAAAACAAUUAAAGAAGGAAAAAUUUGAAAAAACCAAAAAUAACACGAGUAAUAAACAGUAACAAUAGUAAUGGAAUCCCCGCCGCAUUAUAAUAAAAAUAAUACCCAUUGACAGAAUAACAAUAGUACUAAUAAUAGUAACAAUAAUUAUAAGAAUAAUAAGAAUAAGAAUAAUGAUGAUAAUGAAUUAAAUACAAGUACGUAUAAUGCACAUAGUAUAAUUAAUAAUACCAUGUCGCGUGUAACGUAUGACGAAUGAUAUUGACGACACAACAUUGGAAAAGCUAUAUGGGUACGUGUGCAAAGGUACAUUAUUUAUGUUUUAGCGACGAUGAAGAUGAAUAAUAAUAAUAAAAAUAAUAAUAAUAAGAAGAAGAAGAAGAAGAAGAAGAAGAAGAAGAGGAAGGAAAAAACAAACAGCUAUCAAUACCAAACUAGAGUGAGCGAAGAAACCGGAAAUGAAAGAGAAACCGAAAAAAACACACAGACACACUGAUCAUUCGAACAACUUGCAUAAUAUUACCAUUAUAAUAAACGAUAACAAUAAUAAAAGUAACGAUAACGAUGAUAUGUAUAUGUAUGUAUGUAUAUAUAUAUAUAUGUAUAUACAUAUAUAUACCUAAUAAUAUUCGUAAAGAAUGUUAUUUCAGUUGAAUUACUAUCACGCAGCAAACAGUAUACAUAUAAUGUAACAUUGUAAAAUGAUUAGUUGAUUAUUUGAUUAUUAUUACAGUACCUCGUAUACAUGAUAUAUAUAUAUAUACCGCAUUGAAUAUACGUAUGCAUUGUAACUUACGAUAUAAUUAACUAUCUAUACCUACAUACAGUACGAUUGGAUUAUAAACCGUGAAUUAAUGUGUGUCGACAAAUACUCUUUAUAUUAUUAUUAUUAUUAUUAUUAUUAUUAUUUUAUUAUUAUUAUUAUUAUAUCACGCCGUACAGGAAACAAUAGAAACGCGAUAAUUGACGAGAAACAAGAGGAAUGUUGGAAAAAAGUCAACGAAUGGAAACAACUAACGGAUGAAGAAAAAUUGAUGAAACAAAUAAACCGAUCCGAUCCGUGCAACUUAUCACUCACGAACAAUGUGUAACGAGUGAAAUAACUUGACGUACAUACAACUUCACGAUACAUCCGUAAAAUGACAAUGACGAAGAAACAUUGAAUAAGAAUAAAGAAAAAAAAAAAAAAAAGAAAACCUACAUCAAACGAAGAUAAAUCCAUAAAACGAACGAAAAAAAAUCCAGAGAAACGUGUAAUAUGCAACAAUAAAGAAGCGCCGUGUAACUUGUAAUGAUUAUCAAUAUUAUCUGUCAACAGACACGUAUAUAAUAACAAUACAAUGAUAAUAAUAAAAAUAACAAUACUAAUGGUAACGAAAGGCAACAAAAAAAAAAAACCAAAAAACAAAAAAAAAAAAACAAACAAAACACAAUAAUAAUAAUGAUAACAAUAACAAUAAUAAUGAUAGUAACGAUAAUUUAAUAUUGUGUCAAGAACAGAAACCGAUUUUUAUUAUAUAACAAUUACCUUAUACCUUAUCCACUUAUCUACUAUUCGACACACACGCAAAUCAUAUAACAAUACCGCAUGUAAUAAUACCCAUAUGUAAUAAUAGAGUAGAACAUGUAAACCGAGAAAACCGUGAAAACCGUAGAAACCAUGUGUAAAUUUGUUCUCAGUUUUGUUUGAUUUUUUUUUUUUUUUUUCUCGUCUCAAAUUUCGUUCCAUUGCCAGUAAGUACGCGAAGAAGAAGCAAUCUUUUUUACUUUUUUCGUUUUUUUUUUUUUUUAAUAUUCUCACCGACGAUUCAUCGAUUAAUGACAAUUGGAAAAACCGAUUAACCACGCGUCGUGCAGUCGUAACAGUAUAUAUAUAUAUGAUUCUCAUACCAAAUCUACGUAUGUGUUAAACUGCGCAUCAUUAAUGGACCGUCAACGGUAUCUCACAAGCACACGCAUGCUCACACACACAGAUACACAAAUUACUACCACGACAACAACAACAGCAACAACGACAGCAAACGCGAGAAAAAUAGAAGAAGAAGAAAAAAAAACUACGGUAUAAAAACGGAACGCGUACAAUUAUACGUAACAAUGAAUACAAUAAUAAAUCAAUUAAUACCAUGCCUGCAGUAAUAUAUAUAUAUAUUACAACCUUUCAACGAACCGAUUGAUAAUUGUUAUUAUUAUUUUCUCCGUAAUACACAAUAUAAUAUUAGAAUUUUAAUGCAUUACAUAAACAAACAAUAUAUCGUGCGACCUCAAACGUGUGGGGGAGACCAUGUGUGUAUCUGUAACAAUGUACCUAUGUUAUAUAUAAUAUAUAGUACUUCAACCGUCGUUGUUACUACUUCGGCGUAUUUUGGUCCGACAUUUUUUUUUUAUUUUUUAUUCCACCUCGAAAAUCUGAUUUUCCUUCUCUGCCAAUCAAGAAAGUAAAGAUUAUUCUGUGAUCGUUUGUUUUCAUUAUUCUUCGUUUCGAUCACCUUGCGGGCAAAAAUCGAAACAAAUACGUGAAAACUAGAAAAAAGCAGACAACAAAAAAAAAAAAAAAAGUACGUCAGACAGAGGUAAUAAACUUCAAAAUCCGAAAGUGAUGAGAAUAAUAAAGAAAAUCAAAAAAACUUUCACGUGGCAGGUAAAAUUUUGAAUUUGGUAUUUUUUUGUAACUUGUACCGAUUCAAAAUUUUCAUACGCCGGACAAAAGAAUCGAAAUUCUCAGCACAGAGGUUAUCAAUUUUAGUCACUUCUUAUUGCAGAUAAUUGCGAAUAAAUGAAUACUGUCCGCGAGGUGGUAUAAAUAAUGAUCACGAAUCUAAAUUCAAAUUCGACGUAUAAACUGACAAAAAGAAAAAAAAAAAAUGGAAGUAAAGCAGAGAAGGAAAUUGAUUAUUUUUUUCUUUCAAAUACAAAAAGAUUACGGAAAUAAGUGAAGGAAGGAAAAUCUUCCCUGUCGAUCCCUGUUCCCAGACGAAGAAAAGAAAAUAAUGAAAACCAAAUCCCAGCGUAAGAAACAAAAACCGUAAAACUUGUUGUGCUAUCCGUUAUUUUCGACAUAUUUGUAAUACCAUUGUAUUAAUAUAUGCAUAUAUAGGUAUACAUAUUUAACGAUUAAACAUGAUUAAAAUACAUGUAUACGUAUGACUGCAGGCGAAAGAAUGAGAAGUCGAAAGUGACACGUAUUAAACGCAUACAUAUUAUAAAUAAAUAUAAAUGUAUAGGCAACAAUCCAUUACGAAAUAUUCUUUAUAUAUAUUAUAAUUAUCAUCACAAUAACAAUAACAGCUUGAAACACACGUCAAACAGGAAGAAUGGUUUAAAAAAUAAAUAAAAAAAACAACAAUAAUUUAAAAUAGAUUAAAAAUGAAUACAAACGAAAAAAAAAACAAAAAAAAAAAAUGAAUUACAACAACAGCGGCAACAAAGAAAUCGAAUCAAUCAAAACGCAUUAGUUUAAACCGAAAUACUCGCGGUUGGCUUCCACGAGCUUCAAUUUCAUUUGCGAAUAACGAUAAGAAAAGAAACUCGAUGAAAGUUUUCACGAUUCACAAACGCAUGUAUAUUAUUAUACGUAAUUAUACAUAUAUUAUAACAUAAUGCAGAGUUGGCACUGUGUAACUUCCUGUUUAAGUAGGGAAAUUUUUUUUCAAGGGGAUUUCUUACGCGAGACGAUAAUAUUCACGACAAAUGAUAAAAGUCAUCAAAAAAAUCGCUACACCUUGCGAAUAAUCAAGAUAUGUUGUGUGAAAAAAAAAAAAAGAAAACCCCUCGAUUAUUAUACGUACUAUGAUACAACAGCCGACGGAUCCUAUAAUAAUAUAAUUAAUCAAAUUCGGGACAGUGCAAUAUAUAUUAUAAUGUGUGAUCGAUAAUUUCAUCGAGUUUGUUGACUUUCGCGAAAUGUUGUUGCGAAAAAGAAGGAGGGAGAAAUAAAAUUAAAACAAAAAAAAAAAAAAACAUUCCUAUUUGGGGAGAGUGAAAAAAUCUGAUUCUCAUCAAUGCAGGAAUGCAGUACUAUUAUUAUCAUUAUUGUUGUGAUGACGGUAAUUUUUUUUUUUCUCUUGGACAAUUUUUAUUUUUCUUCUUUUUGUUUCUUUUUUUUUUGUCCAGGAUAAUUAUUAAAUUGUUAUCGGGUUAAUUUACAGAUGAGCAGCACGUAAUGAAUCGAUGCAAUCUUACUGCAAUUGAUUCGUGUACAUAUUACAAACAAUAUAUUAUAUAAUACAUACAUACGUAUAUAUAUUUUUUUUUUUCAUGUUACAGAAAUAACGCGCGAUAUGAACCGUGUCAGUAUAUAUAAUAACAUUGAUAAAAAUGUAUAAUUUAUACGGCAUACGGCGUGCAAAAUAAGACUGGUCCUCGUUUCCCCGCAAUGUCAACGCAAUAUUGCAUACAUUUAUUACAUGAACUAUAUAUAUAUAACAUAUUACACGCACGUGCACACACAAACCGAUAUUAGUAUUGCUAUAUUUUAAUUACACUGUAUUACAACAAUGAAGUAUGAUAAUUAGAAUGAGAAAUCAGUGAAAUUUUCAAUCAAAGCUCAUUACGUCAAUCAACGAGCAGUGAACCCUCCCGAAAAUAAAUAAAAAUAAAAAAAAAAAAAACCAGCAACAACAAAGACAGCAGAAAGGUGAAACCAUGAGACGCCAACCGCGAUUAAACAACAAAGAUUUUCAAUAGAAGAGACACGUAGCAAAAGAAAGAAAAAAUCCCCACACACACACACACACACACGCACACAUACGCAUAAAAAAAAACCAGUACGAAGCAGAUAUUUCUUUUUUUUUUUUGAAGAGUAGAAAAUGGAGGAACAAAAAAGAAAUAAAUAAAUAAAAGAAAAUUGGUUUUCUCUUUCUUUAACACCGAACAGAAACUAGCAAAGGAAAAAACAUGCAAACAAUUUAUGAAAUUUUUUAUUUGCAGUACAACCGAGCAUCCGUAGAGCCAUAUAAUAAAUAUGUAGGUAUAAGUAUGCUGAUAUACGAGUAUACGUACAUAUAUUAGUAUAUACGUAUAUAUAGUUAAUCAUUGUUGUAUAACGAUUAAUCAUAUGCGAAAAUAAGGUAGGAGGAAUGAUUCGGAGAAAAAACAACAACAACAACAACAACAAAUAAAUAAAUAAAUAAAAAAAACAAAAAACAAACCAUCACCAACAAAUACGAACGAAUAAUUUACGCGCAUCGCAGCUGGUGAUACGCGUUGUGCGUUACAUUAUAUACCCUGCAAAAUAUCGCGAUUCGAUGCAAAAAAAAGGUAAUAACGAAUGUAAGGCUACGAGUAUAUAUAUACAACACAAUUGUGUAUACAUGCAUAUACGGUGAAUUACUGUAAACGUGCGUCGUAGAUGAACGAUAAUUAAAGAAUUGAAAAUUAACGAGGUUUCGAACGUAAAGAAGAGAGGGAAAAAAAAAAUUAAAAAAAAAAAUCAGUGAAGGGAAAAAUAAAAAUUUGGAUCCAAAGCAGGGAGAAACAUUUGAAAUAGACAAAAAAAAUUGUCAAGGGAAAUGAAAAACGAUAAAACGACUAAUGGAAUUAUUGGAAAAAAGAAUAAGGGCGUAAAAAAAAAAACAAGAAAUUAUCGUAUUAUCGAAAUAAAAAAAAAAAAAAAACGAAAAACAAUGACGAUUGUAUUUAGGUACAUAGACAUAAUCUGUAAAUUGGAAGUAUAUAACAUAACGUAUAAUGUAUAAUGAGAGACGCGCGGUCACCAGUGUGCAGACCCCGUCCAACGGGUGCGAAAAAUUAUGUGUAACAAUACCUAAAUUGCGUACGAUUUAAGGUGUUUUAAUAUUAAAUGAUAAUAAAACUAAUAAUGAUAAUGAUAAGCUUAGUAUACACACGUGACACGGAAAUAUUUAAAAAAAAAAAAAAACGAAAAAAACAAAAAAAAACCAAAACACGAUAGACACAUAAUAAUAAUAAUAUAUACAUAAUUAUCUUUGGGUAUGUUAUUAUAGUAUUAUAUGAUAAUAAUGAUAAUUUCAAGUGAAGGAUAACGAAAGAGGCAUUGGGAAAGAAAUUUUUCAAAAAUCGAACGACGAGACGAUACACGUUUUAGGUGAAAUUAAAUUUAACCAAAAUGAUGGUAAAGGAAAACGAAACGACGGAGUAAAGGAAACGAGAAUACAUUUUUUUUAACGACAAUUUUCGGAGGCUAUAAUAUCUAACGAUAAGUAAGGAUCUCGUGCAUACGAUAUGCAUACACCUGUAUUAAGACGUUAAGAUGAGUAUAAGAAAUUAAUUAAUCAACUAACGAAAAAUUGUUGUAAUCACGUAAGUUUCAGGGUGACAGGGGGGGAGAGAUCCUGAGCUAUUAAUGAAUUUUAAAGGGGGAAAAAAAGAAACGACGAAAUCACGCUGGUGGUGAAAAAAAAGGGAAAAUUCUUGUCCGAAAAUUGAUUGAACGCGGCGUCUGAGUGAUAAUUAUUAAUAAUACACACUCGGGUAGUUAUUGGUGACUGCGCGCGGCGUUCGAUCGUGUAAAAAAAUUAACGACUCUCUGCAAGUUGGAACAAAAAAUAGAAAAGAGAUAAGAGAGCGUGAGAGAAGAAAAAAAUUACAAGAAAAAAAAAAACCGCCUCCAAAAUUACCCUGAAAAAUGAUGAAGGAAAAAAAAUGAUACAUACAUAUAUAUGUGUAUAUAUAUAUAUAGGUAUUUCCAUAGACUUUGUCGUGAUUAUUGUAAUUAUUAUUAUUAAUGUCAUGAUUAUAUUUUGAAUUAUAUAUUUUCAUCAUAUUGUAUAACAUUCAUGAUCGUCACGUCGUUAGUUUGUUGAAAAAAUUUAUUUUCGUUCGUCAUUUCCCGCGGUAUAAAUUGUGUAUAAUAAUAUAAAUCCUUCGAAUGUGCAAUCUACAUUUUGGCAUAUAUGUGAGAUAUAAUUGCACCGGAUCUAUCGCACAAAAAAAAAAAAAAAAAUAAAUAUUUUUGGCAUUUAGGUAUAAUACAUAUUCUAUAAAUUUCGACUGUUGGGUAGUGGGGACAAAAAGUUUAAGAAAAUUUUUAAAAUGUAAGAAAUUAAAGUAAAUUGAAAAUUUUCGACGAGUCAAAUUUUGUAAAAUGUAUCGCGAGGAAUUAUUGUUACAAUAUAUUAUCAUUAAAUUUAGGAUAUAUUCACUAUUCAUAUCGAACGACGAUAUAUAUAUAUAUAUAUAUAUGUAUAUAUAUAUAUAUAAUAUAUACAAUUAACGAGUAAUAUAAGAAAUUUGAAAUUCGAUGAACAAAAGUAAGGUAGUAAAAAGAAAGAAAAAAUAUGAAAAAAAAAAGAAAACACCGAACGGCCUCGUGAAAAAAAAAUGAGAGGUUAUUACAAGAUUUGCUCGGGCCGCCGCAAUUGCUGCUGAACGUGUGUAGAAAAAGAAAAAAGCAAAAGACAAAAAAAAUCAGAUGAUGGAAAAAAAAAUUUAAUAAUAAUAAUAAUAAUAAUAAUAAUAACAAUAACAAUAGUAAUACUAUUAACGAUAAUAUUUAAAAUAUAUGGCUACAAGUACAAAUUACUUCGAUUACGGAGACGUAGGUGUGUAUAUUGAUGUGUGAAAACAAAAGACAAAAAAAAAAAAACCAAAAAAAAACAAACAAAAAUAAAAACCAUAAGUUAGAAGAAGAAGAAAGAUUGAACUAACGAAUAA